UGAAGGCUGCUGUCUUAUACCUUGCAUUUGCUUUUGUUUGUUGCAUAGUUUUGCUUUAUCCUUUUUGGUGAUUCUUUAUAAGUGUUAUCCAAAUAAAACUCUUUUCUGCUUCAAAAAAAAAAAAAAAGAGCAGUGUGAUGGGGCGUUCACCCUACACUAGCCCUGAAAGGGUUAAUAGAAUCACAAGAGGCCAAUUAGCCAUACACUGCACCUGGAGGGGAGCUAGGAUGCAAUGAGGCUUAAUUGAGGAGGAAGUUCACCUGGGCAGAAACAAGCAGGGCUUCUGUAAAGCCAGGGAGCUGGUAACAGAGACCCCCAGUCACACUCUCUGAUACAAGGGGGAGAGGGGCAGGAGUAGGAUAAUCAGUGAGAAGAGCUGAAGCAAACUGUUCAGACAAGCCAUAGACUGAAAACUGGUCCUAAAAAUUAUCUGGCCAAUACUUCAAAUAAAAAAAAUACAUUCUUGGAAAUCAGGAUUGGUUUGCAAAUAACUUUCAAAUGCAGGGGGGGACCUUAAAUUUGCAAAACAUAUAAUUUGCCAUGAAUAAUUUGACUAGCUCCCUCUAAUUGCUACAUACCCUCUGCAGCAAUAAUGAUCAGUUUGGGCAUCACUGAAAUUGUACUACUCUGUCAGUAUCUGCAUAGAAGGAGCCUUCCUGGUGUCAUUUUGAAAUUGCCACUUAGCAAUUGAGAGCUAGUUCUGUUUGGUGUGCUGGACAAGACAAGAAGGCAGUGAUGCAUCGGAGGUCGAUAUGAUCAGCUUCUGGUGAAAAAGACAAUUAGCAGCAGGGAAUUUGGACAGAUCAGAAGGGGCGAUGUGAGGUGUGGCAAAGAACAGCGAUUUAGAAGUCACGAGGCAACAGAGAGCAAAGACGUGAUAAACAAGGGUUUUAACAGUGGUGAUGGAGCAAAAAGGACAUUUUUGAACAGAAAAAAUUCAGAAUUGUGGAAAAAGCCAUACAAUGGAAAAUCCAGUUCCUGCCCAUGUCUACUGAUUUCCAACUCCCCUGUUACUUAGUGUAACAGUCUUUAACUGCUAGAAAAAGUUUAGGACUCAAAACAAGACACUGUCUCCAUGAACCAGGGACUUGGCCGCUGGAGAGCUCUUUUAUCCACCGUUUCCCGAAAGGAGACCUUCCUUCCUUUAAUAUGCAUCAGAUCCUCAGAUCUAUCCAUGAUGCACUCAGAAUAAUUCAGAGAGGCAAGGCAAGUGACUUUAAUAUUUUCUAGAGGCAUCUGCCUCUGUUGUGCCUGUCUUUAAAGAAAAUCCAGAUGGAGCUCUAGACAAUUUAAACAUGUUUUUUCCUGUCAAAUUAUACAUGAUUAUAUCCAAGAAAUGUAUGCCACAUUUUUGUGUUUUGAGGGCAAACCAUUUUUUAAAACAUGCAUUUUAAAACACACUUGACUGGAAGGUACACAAGAUAUAUAGAGAUGUAAAUAUAGAUAUAUUUUGUCAGAUCAGAUAAAUAGGGUCAGCUCCCAUUUAGGCAACAAACUAAGUCGCCAGAUUUUCAAAAGAGCUGAGCACAGUGAGUCCUGAGAUCUUUUUGAAAAGCUGGCUACAGCUGACACAGGUGCCUAAGCUCUUUUGCAACAUGGCCCACCUUUCAGUGCCUAAAUGGGAACUGAGCUCUUUUGAAAACCUGGUCCCAGUUAGGGUGCUGAUACUUGGAUAUCUGCUCUGUAGCUCUGGAAAAUUCAGCACUUACUCCAGACCCCUUUUUAUGACCGUAGUAAGAGAGGAGAAGCAGCUUACCAUAGCUGGAUUUGACCUCAGACCAGACUAUCCAGCUGUCUCUAGUUGGCAAAAUGAUGCAUGAGAGGCCAGGACAUUUUUAUUUCUUAUGCAAAUAGAAAUGAAGAAACCCAUCUUUGCACUGAUUCCUAGCCUCAUGCUUUUCCUGAAGAUAGUUUAUGUUGUUACUGAUUAUUAAUAUUGCUGCCUGACCUGCUUUAAUAAUCCAUGCCAUUAAUCAGUGCUGCUCACCUUCAGCUAUGUGCUUGUAUCUCUGUCGGCCAUCCAUGCCCAUAAAUAUCACCGCUGUGUAUCGCCAUACAAACCCCUGUAAAUCAAUGCUGCCAGUCCAUCAGUUCUGAGAGAGGUUUGCUCUGAAAUCCAGCACUCGAUGUGGAUUCCAAAGGGCAAGUUCAGGUUAAAGCAUAAUAAACACACAAAUUUACUAACUGGAAUAGCUGUGAGUUUCACUGUUACAAUAACUACAGCAUUCUUUAAGGAAGAAAACCCAAGACUGGAUCCAAAGCCCAUUGAAGUCAAUGAGAGUUUUUCCAUUGAUUAAACGGUCUUUGGAGUAGGUUCCUAGAAAGCUAUCCAUUGUGGGUGCUGUGAUCUUGAAAAUUUGGUGCCAAGGUUGCUGUUGGGUACUGAGCACUUUUGGAACUCUGGUCUCGGUUUUGGGUGCUGGGUACUUAAAAAUCUGACCCUAUAUACAUAGAAAGGGAGACAGAACUAAUCUAUGCUAUCCUAGUUUUGAACCAGUUCCUGUAUAUUGAAAACUGUGCAUCACUUUAAGUUAAAGGGAUUCCUGGUCCUUCUUGCAGGCUCUGGGGCUCUGGGUCUUCAGUCUGCAAAGAGCCAGCCCAGAGCAGGGUGGAUUGAGAGUGCCUUUUUGCCUAAGCGAGCAGCCUGCUUUGCCUCUCUCUGUUUUUGGUUCUUGUGCGUUAGGGUUCUGGACAAUUAAGUAUGGUUACAUUGCAACCUUCCAGAAAGAUAAUAUUAUGGUUUUAUCCAACUUCUCUGUGUGUAUGCCAUGAACAUAACACCAGUAUUUCUAAUAAAUACUUGAAAGAUAGUGAGGUGUUCAGAGAGUGUGGUAAUAGGGACCAUAUAAUUACUUAAGAUAGAUAGGUACAUUGUACAGGUUUCCUUUCUAAUGCAGUGGGUUUUGUUGUUGUUCUUCAUCUUCUUUUUAAUGGAAACGGGGAGUUAAGUGAUUCA